CUCUGAGCGUAGUACGGUCUGGAGUGGUAAUCGGAGUGAUUGGUGACGCCUUUGGAAGCGACAGUCUCAUUCAACAUGUAGAGAGUCCUCUUCUGAUCGCACGGAUAAUGAUAGAGGAAGAUUGACGAACUGAGUCGAGAACCACGCCAGACGCAGCAUAAGCCAGAACAGCAGCUCCCAGACGUAUUGCAACGGCUCCAUCAGGCUAUUGGCGGAAUUGUCGAUUCGCUGAAACAAUUUGCAUCCAUUCGUUACAAUCGCAUUCUUCCAUGAGAUCGGAAAUGAGCUGGUUUCCGUUCUACAGUUCGCACGCACGUACGGCCCAAUUAGUUCAGCAUCUUGUAAACCUGAUGUAAUAUUGGUGUACGAUACUACACAAUAACAGAAAAUAUUCCAUACACGGGGGGGCUGAUGAGUUGCAAUUACCAAUUUCUCAAUUUCUCAAUAGCAAUGUCUUCCGCAACAAGCGGAAUCUUUUUUCAGGAUAUAACCCAGUAGGAUAUAACACUGAU